rnacentral:rRNA from 1 species
AGCGAACGCUGGCGGCAGGCCUAAUACAUGCAAGUCGAGCGCACCUUCGGGUGAGCGGCGGACGGGUGAGUAACGCGUGGGAACGUGCCCUUUGGUACGGGAUAACUGAGGGAAACUUCAGCUAAUACCGUAUGUGCCCUACGGGGGAAAGAUUUGUCGCCAUUGGAGCGGCCCGCGUUGGAUUAGGUAGUUGGUGGGGUAAAGGCCCACCAAGCCGACGAUCCAUAGCUGGUCUGAGAGGAUGAUCAGCCACACUGGGACUGAGACACGGCCCAGACUCCUACGGGAGGCAGCAGUAGGGAAUCUUGCGCAAUGGGCGAAAGCCUGACGCAGCCAUGCCGCGUGAAUGAUGAAGGUCUUAGGAUUGUAAAAUUCUUUCACCGGGGAAGGUAAUGACGGUACCCGGAGAAGAAGCCCCGGCUAACUUCGUGCCAGCCGCCGCAGUAACAC